rnacentral:lncRNA from 1 species
CGGGCGGCGGUUGAGGCGGUUGGCGCAGCGCGUGCACGCCCGUGCGCGUGCUCGCUCGGUCGCUGUGGCGAAGCUGGGGGGGGGGAGCGCGCGCCACCUCAGCGGCGCGGCCCCGCCCCGCCGCGGGGGUCACGUGACCGCGCGGGGGUGGGAGGGGCCGGCGGCGGUUGCGGGGCGGCCGUUGCCUCAGCGCUGGGGGGGGGCGGGGGGGAGCGCCGCCAUGUUGCGUGCCCCGACGGGCGGGCGCUGUAACGGGCAGAGUCCCUCACUCGGCGUGCCCCAGAGCCUCUCGUUCCUCCCACACGUUCCUCAGGCUCUUUUACCGCUGUGUCCCGCUGCUGGCCCCUCGUGACAGGGGGUUGUUUCACGAUAAACACGGCUUUUGUGUGUGUGGGGGGGGUGUUGGUACCUUCGCGCAUCUCCCGCUGCAUCCCUCUGUGGAAAGGCGGCGUGGUACCCGGGGUGGGCUGCAGGUGGCUUAUUUAGUUAUCCACCGCAGCACAAAAUUGCCAAACCCAAACGUGUCCAGCAGGACAGCUUGAACUCUUCGUCCUCCAACAUAUCUAAGCAUCCACAAACAGGUUGUGUUUUCUUACAUCCUCACUAUAUAAAUGUGUGAAUGAACACAGUAAUGACUUAAAGCAGAGAUUCUUGGUUUAUGUGUAGCCAUACACGAAGGCUGUGUGGGUUAUAUAUAUGUAGGCUUAUGUGUAGCUACACUCCUGUGAUUCAUAGGAAGCCAGUGGGCCUGAUCCCAGUGAGGGGAAGAAGAGGUAUUUAACUGCUUUGGUGUUGGGCUGAGUCACUGAGGGGACGGAGGACAGUGGGUCCGGCAGGCUUUGGAAGCAGAAAUAUGAUUGCAGUAGCAAAAAUGGUGUAGAGAAAUGAGCAUUCGGGGCAGUUGAUGCUUUAUGGGUUAGUGCUAUAUCCACAGUACUUCACCAAGGCAGGGAGGGAAUUAAGGAAGUGGAAAGGACUGGAAAACAGUCAUGUGAGUCUCAGUGGUAAGAAAUACCAAACAUCAUCCAUCUGAUGAAAGACGUGUGGAUGAGAGAAACCUGCACUGAAUGAAAACCUACCUGUGGCCUCCCUGUGGCUGUAGGAGAUGGUUCUGCUUCUGGAGAUCUUCCCCUGUGGCUUCAGCGGUCACAGUAAAAAGUGCAGCCCACGUGGCAUUAAAAGAACCAUACAUAAGGUUUCUUUGAGAAAGUAAAUGGGGCCUCCCUCAAGCUAUGCUGGCCUACGAGUAUUAGAGUAUUAACAGAUCCACAAAACUGAUAUCGACAUUCUUUUACAGAGCAGUAAAGUCAGUUAUUUACUGGACAGGAUUCAUUCUAACAACCUCUGUUUAUCACAUACAUUUUCUAGUGAUUAGAAUCAUCGUGUCAGUACAUGGGUCGUUAUCAAGGUACUUAGAAAGGUCUGCAAAACAAGAGCUCUGAUACUGAGACCUAAGUGCACGCCUACUGUGCAUUUAAAGUUAUGAAGUAUCACAAAUCAUAUAAAAAUAAACACACAAACUUUGGUGUUAAAGUACUAUGG